CCCCUUUUUAAUUUGCCCCAGGAAAGGCAGAAGCCUUCAACUGAGCCCAACUGGGCUGAAGGAACCUCCUCCUGGCACGGCUGGAACUCAAGCAUUCUACGUGUUCAGAUCUAUGCUGUUCCAACACAUAAAGGCAAAAAGACAUCGGUGAGGUUUCUUCAGAGAUGCCUGCUGAGAACUGCUGCUCGCUCUACUUUCGGUUUGAUGACCUUUUCUUUUUCAUGCUAAUGCAAGCCAGUAGGCAGACAAAUGACAUGGAGACAGGAAUUUCUCUACAGACUAAGCAGUUGUUACUGGGUCAAGACUUAAACUUCUUGCUACAGGAGGGAGAGUGCCCAAUGGAAUUAAGUGAUUAGUCAUCAGAGAAACCUUCAGGCAGACAAAAGGCAACGUAUAGCUUCUCAGCCCUGAGUACAAUGAGGAAGCUCCCAUGGCUCAUUAAUAGACUGAUGCCAACUCCAGCAGUGCAUCUAUCAGCUCCUAUGUAGGUGUCACUCAGCAGCUUAACUUUUCAGGUGAGGCCUCUUUGGCUAAUUGUAAUAAAAUGUUGGGCCUGUGUUAAUCUCUGGUAACACAAAUUCAGCACUACUACCAGGAAUAAAGGGGUGCACCUCACUUCUAGUCCACAUCCUUUGCUGCCCUCCAACAAAAAGAACAAGCAUCCAUGGCAGGUCACCAGUAGCCUGAAAGCUCAUCUUAAGUCUAGCCCCAUGAAUUUCUACAUCACAGAAUCUUCAUUUAAAGACUUCUUUCCAGCUCUAGACAGAAAAGCCUGAAAACACUGACAAUACAGAAAGGAAGGAGCUGUGCAAGCCCACAUCACUAGAUGGUGCAAGCAGACCACUAGCUCCAGCACUGCUCUUCCAGACUGAAGGAAUACCAGCUUCUAGCCUCCAGCUGAACAAUUUGGAGUGAGGAGGGCAAACCCAGCUCAUCCUGCAGAAGCCCAAGCAGGCAGAGCCGAACCGGUUUGACUGAUGGCAAAAUGAUGGUUAGAAUGAUGACAAAACAGAGCUGCACUGCUGUGUGCCCUUGAAGCUCUC